rnacentral:piRNA from 1 species
ACAUUGGGAGAUAGAUUUCACUGAG